GCUGGUGUAGCUCAGUCGGUAGAGCAACUGCCUUGUAAGCAGUAGGUCGGCGGUUCGACUCCGUUCACCAGCUCCA
rnacentral:tRNA from 2 species